rnacentral:piRNA from 1 species
UACCUUCAAAGUGUUCUUUGGGACAAA